UUGUCAUGGAGCUUUUGUGACCCAGCUGCUUCAAACACAUCGCAAGACCAUCAACAGCUAUUUAGACUCUCAAAAUCGAGCACCGGAGAGCUGCCGGGAAGCACAUUUCUUAAGAGAGUUAACAGAACAUCUCCGGAGAAGUGGGCAAGGCAGGCGUAGGCGGAACACAAACACACACAGACAUUCCCGAUUCCUGCCCCAGGAGGGAUGCCGCCAGGCGCUGUUACCUGGCAAACUUCAUAGAGUAAUUUGUACUGCUCCUCUUGCUUCUGUGCGCUGCACAAGCUGCAUCCCAUGUUUGGAGGAAUGUCAAAGAAAGCCUUUAGGACCUCCAGCGCCCGGGAAGCCACUCCCUCAGCAUGCAGGCAUUGAAGGGCUCUCUGAGAGCCUCAGGUACUCAGGAGCCACAGGUUGGCUAGCUGGAUGAAUAGAUGGAGAGCCACCUGCCAGCUCCACAAAGCCGUGAAUGCCAGUGCAAGCUGCGAGCACCAUUACAGAAAGCACAGUGCCAGGUGUCCGGAAAGGGAAGGCACGUUGUCAUGGCUGACUCCCUGCUUCUAAAGUCACAAGGACCCCUGGCUUCACAGUCUUUCUUUGUUUACUUACUUUCACCCUAAUAGGAUCUGUGGCUGAAGGAGUCAGAGUAAGGUGUCCGGUAACACUCAGAGUGCACCUGGCAGCAAUGAGAUCAGACUUUGAUGGAACCCUAAGGCAGGCUAGGUGAUACGUCUGCAGUGUCUCACCCUGUGAGGUCUUCCCAUUUCUCCUUCGUGACGUCCAGUUAUAGGGAGCUGCUAUGAUCGUUCAUCAGCUGCCCCAGGAUGUCUGGAACCUUCCACGUCACCAUCCAUAUGUAAACUGGCACAUCUUCUCUUGCCUUUGCAUGCUGCAGCCUGAACUCCAUCCUUCAGCUUCCACACGUAUAUUAAAGCCAACUCCGGUUUCAUCCUCAAAACUGGUCUGAAGCUCCACAGUAUCUGCAGGUAUUUGCAUCCUACCACCUUCUUGAGGCCGGGCCUUUUAAUUCAACCAUUUAAUUCAAGUAGGCAAAGAUGAAGAAGCUAAGGGUUUAGGACAGAAUGGCAUCCGGGGCCAGCCUUAACUAGGAGGAGAACUUUAAGUUCCUGAAGUCAAGGACCAACACAAGGAAGAACUUGCUGAGCAGAGAUGGUCCUAGAGCCUCCAGACAUGAGGCAUAGGCAAAGCCCUCCAGAACUGUGCACUUGAAGGUGGAUGGAGGAUGAGAAAGGAGCGAUGCUUGCGGAAGAGACUGAUUGUAGAUGCUAGGGGGAAAGGUUGGACAGAGAGAAAGGGUAGGGCUGUGGAGAUGGCUCAGCCAACAAAAGCUUGCUAUGUAAGUAUGAGAGCCUGACUUUGAACCCUAGAAUCCUGUAGAAAAGCUGGGCACAGUGGCAUGUUAUCCUAAUCCCAGUGCCGGUGAGGCAAAGCAGGCAAACUCCCGAGACUCACUGGAUAUCUCACCUAGCCAAACUAGCAAGAUCCGAGCCAGUGAGACUCAGUCUCACUCCCCAACCUCCACAUCCCAACAUGGCUUGUGUCUUGAGGAAUGAUACUCAAGGUUGCUUUCUGAUAUCACAUCCAUAUGUGCACAUGUAGAGACACACAAACAUACACACAUACACACAGGCACAUAAGCAAACACAUACACAGAAUGGAAUGCACUAGGUUAGAGGCAGAGCGAGCUUAAAUAUGAAUUUUGAACUGGGCACCCAACUGGCAAAUGGCUUUGUGUUUUCUUCAGUGGCUCUCAGAUGGAGUCAGAGCUCCAGUGGAUAUGUUGACAGCUUUCCCCUUUGGCCGGAUGCUGGAAUUCAGGACAUGUCUCCAUAGUAGACUGUUCUUUCUAUGAGCUUGGAAUUGAGUCAUGGCCCACUCGCUUGCUCAUCUGUGAGGCUUGAAGAAGCCAGGUAACAGUGCGGGGUGGGGCAGGCAUUAGCUGGGUGACUUGGGCAUUAAACAGAAGCUGGCUCGGGAGUUUAAAACAGCUCUGCUCGGAAGAUAAACAAGAAGCACUAAAGACACUCACUUGGGGAAAAAGCUGCCAACUGAGGCUUCAUAAUUCACUUCUACCUAUGAGGUUCAAGUACCAUCAAGUCUGAAAUUACUCGCAAAGCUUCUACCCUGGAUUUACUUUCUAUAUAAAACAACACUUCACAGAGUAAGUUAGGAGAUGCCACUGAGACCAGUGAUGUGUUUCCAGAGGGAGAUUCUGCCAAUGAAUCAGCAACACUAAUUUUUUUUAACAUUCUCUGGGAAAAUAUAACAAUUUAGUAUGUUUGUAAAACUGGAUAAGCACCAGUGAUGUUGUCCUUAACCUUACACAGGAGCUUCUCACCACGCAGAGCUCUAUAAACAACAGAUUGUAAGAUAAACACGCUCUAGCUGCUCCUCGGGAAGUUGCUUCGCUGCGCAGUAGACGCCCCGCACUCCUGUGUAAUACGGCAAAGGACACUGUGAGAAUUGAACCGAGUCAGAUCGGUACCAGGACACAGAGAAGCGGUCUGGAUUUGGGGGGUGCUUGCCAGAGGAUUUGGUGUAGCCAUGGACAUACUGAUCCCAGGCCAUAAUAAUAUUUUGACUCUGAUGGAAGAGGACACAUGGCUUGCUGGCUACAGGAAAUAAAAAAAGAAAAUUUGAUCUUCAACUAUCACCCCAAAAUUUGGGUGAAUCUUGGUUAGCUGUGGAGAAGCGAUUCCAGGACUCUUGGUGUAUACCAAUCUGUGGAUGCUAAGUUCCUUAAGCUUUCUCCUGGAAGCCCAGCCUGUUCUGCACAUUCUCCUUUGAGCUAUCUGCUCAGGAAUGCACACGUGCUUCCUGGUGGACUGAAUGCAUAUCUUUGGGAGUCUUCUUCCAGACUGUGAGGGACUCCACGGGGCAAGAACCUCUGGUCCGUGCUGAUAUUCCCAUGUGCAGACAGAAAGGACAGCGGUUAUGGAGAUGAGAGAAAUGUGCUUGGAGACUAAACGAGAAGUUCCAGAAGAUGCUCCAAGUUUUCUGGGGACACUGUCCAUAGAGUCUCAAGUUUAAACAUUGGCUUCUCGUGGACCCAUGAUAAUGAAAGGUGGUGUGUGAAUGAGUGCAUGUGUGUAUGCAUGCAUGUGUGUUCUGUUGCUUCAUGGUGCUACACUCCCAUGUGUGUUUGUUCAUGUUGUAUGUUGUGAUUCACAGUGCUACCCUGUCCACUGGUGCAGUUAUUAUGGUCAGAGGGUGAUAGUUGCAGAGUUGGCAAACACUUUCUUAUUCAUCCCACAUCAGCAUGGGUUUCAACGUGCUUGUUCCAAACAAAAUCUUAAAUAUAAGUGAGCCAGUUUUCUUUUAAGAGACAAUAACGAUUUAUGUUUGUGGGUGACUAAAGAUUGGACAGAAGUAAAGUAGACUAGUGGCUAUUGGUAUGAAAAAAGAAAAAUAAAAUCAUUCUUUAAAAAACAAGAACCCGUAUCAAGUACUGGGUGGGGGAGGACAAGAAAGCCUAAGUGGAUGAAGACGAUUGAAAUACAUCAUGUGCACAUAUGGGAAUGUCAGAAUGAAACUCACACUGUUAUGUGUAAUUAAGAAAAACCAAUCUGCCCUAAGUACUGCUAGUGUUUGAAAUAAAUGGCCACUAUUUUUUAAUUUAUUCACAAGUUUUGUGAUUGAUAUGGCUUAUGUUUUCCACCAAAAUAAUGAUGUAGAAACAGAAGAUAAGAGGCAUUUAUUCGGGUUGGGAGGGAAUUCAGGGCCAAAAACUCACAAGUUGUUCAACUCCUUAAAAUACAGUUGUAGUCAAGGUUAAAUGA
rnacentral:lncRNA from 1 species